rnacentral:pre_miRNA from 1 species
UUUUCGUUUCUUCGUGUGCAACGUUGACCAUUUGUUUUAUUUGAAAUUCUUUUUGCGAUUAAUAUUUUUAUUGUUACUAUAUGAUAAAAUAUGAAUAGUUGACUAAUUUUUUAAAGUUUUUUUAUAAUUUUUUUAAAUAAAACGAAUGGUCAAACGUUGGAUAUGAAAAACGAAAAAUAAAAUUAUU